UGUGGGAGCGGGCUUGCUCGCGAUAGCGUUGGGUCAGUCACUUUAUGUGUGCCUGAUACACCGCAUCGCGAGCAAGCCCGCUCCCACA
rnacentral:misc_RNA from 1 species